CUAGAGGGAACAGUGGUCAGAGCUGUCAUAGUCUCCUGAGACUCAGUGAUCCCGAGCAAGAUGCAGAGAAACUUGAUGACAGAUGGGAGGAACCUACCCUUGUGGCACAGCCAGCACGGGACAUCAUUUCCAUUUGUGUUGUUUUUGGAGGAGGAAAUAGAAGCUUAAUAACUUGAUCAAGAUCAUCAAGUGAUUUCUACUCUGAAGACCCUUUGUUCAUCGACCAAGAGUCUUAACCACACUGAAGCCACUCCUUUCACCAUUGACAUUACCACCAUUGUCUGUGACACAUAAGAUCAGAAGAUUCAAGGCCAGAAGGUCAUCAUGGUCAACAAGUAAGCAGACAAUAAUCAGAGGCAAGCAGAGUUGAGACUGGAGAGGAAUUCCCUUAUAACUAUUACAAACAGAGAUCUGACAGGUUGAACUAACAACCUGGGGCUAAAAGAAGGGAAGAAGGAAUCAAGCAGAGAAAACACUGAGAAUGGAUGCCUGGGCUGUGAAUUGACAGAAGGGGACUUAAAGAGGGCGUAGGGAGCAGAUCUGAAAGGACAAUAAUGAAGGAAGUUAAAAACUCAGUCUUUGGUUUUCAGAGUUUGUUCUGGGGACUGGGGAUGGUGAUGGACUGGAUCAGGAAACUGGACGACUGGAAUAUAACCUUGUAUUCUUGGAAUAACUUCCUGAGGGCUUCACAUCUAACCAAACAUUAGCACUCAUUUACUAAACAAAUACUUCUCUGUCCCUGGGAAGCAAGGACUGGCGUUCAUGCUCCCCACCCUCAUUACAAAGGCAGCUCAAUCCCUGCCCCUAGACUGUUACAAUCUAGAGAGUGAAGUGUCCCCAAGAGUCUGGCAUGAUAACCCUGGUAUAUGUAGAGUCAGUGUCCAGGGGUCCUGACAACCAUAUAAUGGCCAGAGCUAUUCCAUUUCCCAUAAGCCUGAGGCCAAGUAGAGUAAAACAAGGAGAGGAGAGGCCUUUUCUAAUAUUGAAGUAAGUAGAAACAGGGAAAAGAAAAGUC